ACGCAUCACAAACAUCACAUAUCCGAAUUCGCUGGGCUGUCCAACAGGACAUUCUGGCUACAGAAUUUCUUGACGACCAUAGAGCAUUGGAACCACCUGAUCCCAUCCCGAACUCAGUAGUGAAACGAUGCAUCGCCGAUGGUAGUGUGGGGUUUCCCCAUGUGAGAGUAGGUCAUCGUCAAGA
rnacentral:rRNA from 1 species